rnacentral:rRNA from 1 species
GACGAAGGUGGCGACCGUUGUUCGGAAUCACUGGGCGUAAAGAGCACGUAGGCGGCAAGGUAUGUCGGGUGUGAAAUCCCUCGGCCUAACCGAGGAAUUGCGCCCGAAACUACCUUGCUUGAGGAUGGAAGGGGAGCGUGGAAUUCCUGGUGGAGCGGUGAAAUGCGUUGAUAUCAGGAGGAACACCGGCGGCGAAGGCGACGCUCUGGUCCAUUACUGACGCUGAGGUGCGAAAGCCAGGGGAGCAAACGGG